rnacentral:lncRNA from 1 species
AGAAAUUGAUGAGACAGGGGGCUGAAAAAUGUAAUAUUAAAUGUUAAAUAAGUAAAGUCUGAAUUCAGUAGCAAGAUGAUUAAGUAAAGUCUGACAAAAAAAAAUUUCUUCAAAAAAUUGAUAGUAUAAUUUUAAAAGUAGUGUAUUCCAUUUUUAUUUCCUUAAUCAUUGCUACUGACCUUAAAUAUGACUAAGAAAGGAGGGAGUAUAAUCCUUUUAUUCAAUAUGACUACAGAUAUAUUAUUAGUAUUGUAAGGCAAUGAACAAGAGGGAGGGAGGGGCCCAAGCCCCUGCUUGCCCCUGCCUAAGUCCGUCCCUG